UACGUAGGGUGCAAGCGUUGUCCGGAAUUAUUGGGCGUAAAGAGCUUGUAGGCGGUUUGUCGCGUCUGCUGUGAAAUUUCGGGGCUCAACCCCGAACUUGCAGUGGGUACGGGCAGACUAGAGUGUGGUAGGGGAGUCUGGAAUUCCUGGUGUAGCGGUGAAAUGCGCAGAUAUCAGGAGGAACACCGGUGGCGAAGGCGGGACUCUGGGCCGAUACUGACGCUGAGGAGCGAAAGCCAGGGGAGCGAACGGG
rnacentral:rRNA from 1 species